UACACGCUGUGACUAGCAUAUCAAUAAGCGGAGGAAAAGAAACUAACAAGGAUUCCCCUAGGUAACGGCGAGUGAAGCGGGAAGAGCUCAAAUUUGAAAUCUUAAAGGGUUUCCCUUUACGAAUUGUAGUUUAAAGAAGUGUUUUCUGUUGAGGUUUUGGUAAAAGUUCUUUGGAAUAGGACAUCAUAGAGGGUGAGAAUCCCGUAUUUGACCUUUACUUUCAACUUUGUGAUACACUUUCAAAGAGUCGGAUUGUUUGGGAAUGCAGUCCAAAAUGGGUGGUAAAUUUCAUCUAAAGCUAAAUAUUGGCGAGAGACCGAUAGCGAACAAGUACCGUGAGGGAAAGAUGAAAAGAACUUUGAAAAGAGAGUUAAACAGUACGUGAAAUUGUCAAAAGGGAAGCGUUUGACACCAGUGUUGUUUUUCUGAAAAUCAAUUAAAGAACUGUUUAUGCUAAGCUGUUUAGACUUUAUCAGCUAUCUGUUUAGUUUUGAGCUUUUCUUUAAUGCACUUUUCAGUUAACAAGUCAACAUCAAUUUCUUUUGCUGUAAAAAAGCUUGAGGAAGGUGGCUUGAGAUUCGUCUUAAGUGUUUAUAGCCUCUUGCCUAUGCAGUCGGAGAGAUUGAGGUCUGCAGCGUAGAUCCUUCGGGGCUAAAUGCAUUUGUGCUAAGUUAUAGCAUUUUAUAGACAACUUGUUGACUAUGAUUCGUCUUGUAGCUUACUCGCUUAUGUUAUUUUACCUACGCUUAGGAUGUUGAUAUGCAUGACUGAUAU
rnacentral:rRNA from 1 species